UACGGAGGGUGCGAGCGUUGUCCGGAUUCAUUGGGCGUAAAGAGCGUGUAGGCGGCCAGGUAGGUCGGUUGUGAAAACUGGAGGCUCAACCUUCAGAGGUCGACCGAAAACCAUCUGGCUAGAGUCCGGGAGAGGAGAGUGGAAUUCCUGGUGUAGCGGUGAAAUGCGCAGAUAUCAGGAAGAACACCCGUGGCGAAAGCGGCUCUCUGGAACGGUACUGACGCUGAGACGCGAAAGCGUGGGGAGCGAACAGG
rnacentral:rRNA from 1 species